rnacentral:piRNA from 1 species
UGGUGUUCGUAGUGUUCUUUCCAGACUGA